CAAGAACGACUCCCGACACCGGAUAUCUCGCUUCUCGCAUCGAUGAAGAACGUAVCGAAAUGCGAUACUUGGUGUGAAUUGCAGAAUCCCGUGACCCGUCGAGUCUUUGAACGCAAGUUGCGCCCGAAGCCGUCAGGUUGAGGGCACGUCUGCCUGGGUGUCACAC
rnacentral:rRNA from 1 species